rnacentral:rRNA from 1 species
CGUGAGCCCUCACUCAGUAAUGAUCUCCGUAGGGGUGAACCUGCGGAGGGAUCAUUACUGAGUGAGGGCUCACGCCCGACCUCCAACCCUCUGUGAAACCACACUUGUUGCUUCGGGGGCGACCCUGCCGGCGAACUCGUCGCCGGGCGCCCCCGGAGGUCUUCUAAACACUGCAUCUUUGCGUCGGAGUUCAAAACAAAUCGAACAAAACUUUCAACAACGGAUCUCUUGGUUCUGGCAUCGAUGAAGAACGCAGCGAAAUGCGAUAAGUAAUGUGAAUUGCAGAAUUCAGUGAAUCAUCGAAUCUUUGAACGCACAUUGCGCCCUUUGGUAUUCCGAAGGGCAUGCCUGUUCGAGCGUCAUUUCACCACUCAAGCCUGGCUUGGUAUUGGGCGUCGCGGUGUUUCGCGCGCCUUAAAGUCUUCCGGCUGAGCUGUCCGUCUCCUAGCGUUGUGGAUUCUUCAAUUCGCUUCGGAGUGCGGGCGGCCGCGGCCGUUAAAUCUUUAUUGAAAGGUUGACCUCGGAUCAGGUAGGGAUACCCGCUGAACUUAAGCAUAUCAAUAAGCGGAGAA